rnacentral:lncRNA from 1 species
GGGAGUUGGUGGGGUUUUUUUGGUUGUGGUUUGAUUUAUUUGUAUUUUUAUCCUUCCAGCUGAGAGCAUUGAUUUGAAGCUGUAUCCUGAAAUGCUGAGACCAUUGGUGAGCUGUAGGAGGCCUUCAGCAAUGACCAGCUUUACUCCAGAAGGAAAAGGUUUUGUGCCUGGAGCUGCACUUCCCACCAUUGCAAGUCCUGCCCAGCUUGCACAGAACAGCUUCAGAAAUGACAAAGGCUGCAAGGUGCUCACACACUGUGAUGGCCAGCUGGACAGGAUUGAAAAGGACAGUGACAAGUUAUGCAAGCAAGCAGUGGAGCCACAGGCAGCGGGCAGUGCUGGGGACAACCUACUCUCCCUUCUGGAGCUCCAACUGGAUCACUGGCACCAGGUUUUAAAGGUCUUCUGCUGUUUCUGGGGUUGCAAAAGGAACAUCCAGCUAUCAAGUCAGUGCCCCAUCUUGAAUUUUUAUAUAUCCCUCUUCAUCUUAAAAGGAACUGUACACCUGGAGGUGCCUCAGUGUGGUCAGUGCAACGAGCUGGGCACAGUGCUGAGCAAAGAUUGUAUCUCCUUUCUCUAGAAAGUCAGACCCUAUUGUUACACACAAAGUCCCCAAAUCCUUGGUGUCUCCUUUGCCCAAGCAUGAGAUCAUUACCUGUUGUGUGGGGGUAAGCUGGGUCCCUUAGUGAGGAAAAGCCAACAGCACCAGGCUUCAAAAAAGACCGGAGAUUCUAAGUGACUUUCAAGAGCGUGGCUGGGGUUCUGCUAGCUGUUCUCCAGUUCUGGGCUGCUUCCAGGUCCUGGUGAUAGGUAUUGCAUUCAGCAGGAGCUCUAGCAGCCAGUCCAUCAGAGCAGCAGUGUAUAAAUCAGGAGAUGGAUGCAAAGAGUCAUUAAGGGUGAGGAGCUGGCUUUAGGAGUAUGUUUGCACCCAUCUGAAACCUGUCCACUGUCUGAGAUGUUAAGCCAUAUUCUGAGCUUCACAUCAUUGUGUUGUGUUCUUUCUCUCCAUUGAGUUUGCAUAAAGAACAAGCCUUUGGGGUAGAACUUUUCUGCCUUUGACACUCCCAACUCAUUCUUGCAAGUUUAUAUUUGUUGGUUUUGUUGUUGAGUAACCAGUAAUAAAUAAUCUUUUGGUCAAGACUCUUAAAAUGGG